rnacentral:rRNA from 1 species
CGAACGCACCGCAAGGUGAGUGGCAGACGGGUGAGUAACACGUGGGAACAUGCCCUUCGGUUCGGAAUAACUCAGGGAAACUUGAGCUAAUACCGGAUACGUCCGCGAGGAGAAAGAUUCAUCGCCGAAGGAUUGGCCCCGCGUCUGAUUAGCUAGUUGGUGAGGUAACGGCUCACCAAGGCGACGAUCAGUAGCUGGUCUGAGAGGAUGAUCAGCCACAUUGGGACUGAGACACGGCCCAA